rnacentral:rRNA from 1 species
CAGUCGCACGGUAACACGUAGGUGGCAAGCGUUGUCCGGAAUUAUUGGGCGUAAAGGGCUCGCAGGCGGUUUCUUAAGUCUGAUGUGAAAGCCCCCGGCUCAACCGGGGAGGGUCAUUGGAAACUGGGAAACUUGAGUGCAGAAGAGGAGAGUGGAAUUCCACGUGUAGCGGUGAAAUGCGUAGAGAUGUGGAGGAACACCAGUGGCGAAGGCGACUCUCUGGUCUGUAACUGACGCUGAGGAGCGAAAGCGUGGGGAGCGAACAGGAUUAGAUACCCGUGUAGUCCCUGUCUCUUAUACA